CAUGUCAAAUUCAUCUUUAUAUUGAAACUUGUGUCUCAGAUAUUUAAAGCAUAUUCAAAGUUUUAUGUGCUAAUUAAGGAAUAUAUAUUCAAUGUUAGCAUUUUGUUUAUAUAUUGGAAUAUGUGGAAGUCGUUAGCAAUGAACCUGGAUGUAUGAAGACAUUCACAAAUGCAGAAUGCCUUAAAGCACAUAUCAAAACUUCUCACCUUUAUGUUGAUUGUGUGAUUUGUGGAACAAAACAGUUGAAGAAGAAUAUUAAACGACAUGAACACAUGCAUGAAGCAAGUGAGGUGACUGAGAGGACAAAAUGUAACUUUGAAGGUAUCAAAUCUCAGACAGCACAUAAAAGCAGUCCAUCAAAAUCUUCGUCCAUUUGCAUGUAGAUUUUCUAAAUGUGGGAAGAAAUUUCCCUACAAGCAUGUCAGGGAUAACCAUGAAAAAUCUGGUGUGCACAGUUAUAUUCAAGGUGACUUCCUAGAAAUCGACGAGCAGUGGCAGUCACGGCCACGAGGUGGACGGAAAAGAAAGUGUCCUUCUAUCGGAUCUUUCUGCAGGAAGAGGAUUGUUUCACCUGAGCAAGCAUCAACGCUUAUGUACAAUGUUCUCCGGAACAUGAUGCAAGCAGAGUUUUGCUGGUGGGACGAAAUAGAAUAGGUGAUUGUUUUUGUGCAAGAAGAGUUUCGUUUUCCCUUCUACCCAACUCUUUUCCUUGCUUCUAAUUUGAGUUUUGUGCAAGCAGAGUUUUGCUUCUAAUUUAAGCAUUCAAAUUAGUCAUCUUGUU